CUUCGGUGGCCUGGGGUUCACUGGUUCGGAUCCCGGGUGUGGACAUGGCACCACUUGGCACGCCAUGCUGUGGUAGGUGUCCCACGUAUAAAGUAGAGGAAGAUGGGCAUGGAUGUUAGCUCAGGGCCAGUCUUCCUCAGCAAAAAGAGGAGGAUUGGCAGAUGUUAGCUCAGGGCUAAUCUUCCCCAAAAAUAAAAGAAAAUGCAGGGCUGGCCCAGUGUCACAGUGGUUAAGUUCGUCCGCUCUGCUUCAGUGGCCCAGGGUUUGCCACUUCAGAUCCCGGCACAGACCUACGCACUGCUUAUCAAGCCACGGUGUGGCAGGUGUCCCACAUAUAAAGCAGAGGAACAUGGGCAUGGAUGUUAGCUCAGGGCCAGUCUUCCUCAAAAAAAGAAAAUGCAAAUAUGAAAUGCAAUCUAUAUCACCCCCAGUAGAAGGACUAUAAUCAAAAAGACAAACAAUAACAAAUGUUGGCUACAAUGUGGAAUGACAGAACCUCAGACAUUGCAGGGGGGAAUAUAAAAUGGGGCAGCAUCUUCAAAAAAUAGUUUGGCAGUUCCUUAAAAAGUGAAGCAGAGCCAGCCAUGAUGGCCUAGUGGUUAAAGUUCGGCAUGCUCUGCUUCGGCGGCCCCAGUCCACUUCCCAGUCGCGGAACCACACCACCCAUCUGUCAUUGCCGUGCUGUGGUGGCAGCUCAGAUAGAAGAACUAGAAUGACCUAUAACUAGGAUAUGCAACCAUGUUCUGGGGGCUUUGGUGAGAAAAAAGAAAAGAGGAAGAUUUGGCAAUAGAUGUUAGCUCAGGGCAAAUCUUUCCCUGCAAAAAAAAAAGAAAGUUAAACAAACUUACCAUGUGGCCCAGCAAUUCUACUCCCAGGUCCCUGUCUAAGAGAAACAAAAACGUACGUCCACACAAAGGUUUGUGAGUCAGUGUUCAUAGCAGCAUUGUUCACGAGAGGCAAAAACUGGAAACCACCUAGAUGCCCAUCAACUGAUUAACAGGCAAAGUGUGGGAAAUCCAUAUGCUGGAACCCCAUUCACCGAUAAAAAGGAACAAACUAAUGGCGGUGCUGCCAUAUGGAUGAAUGGCAGAGAUGCUGAGAUAAGCGAGAGAACCGACACAGAGACCACCUGGUGUGUGAUCGCACGCACGUGAAAUGUCCAGACAAGGCGAACUGACAGGCAGGCCUCCCCUGCAGAAUAACCUUCCUGAGGACAGAUGCUGAGCCUUGACUCUCAGACUCCGGGAGCAAAGUCCACCUCCUGCGGGACGCAAUGACGGCUUGCUGCCUUCACAGAUAAGUGCGAUGGGAAGGCAGAGCCCAGCAGAAGGAGAAUUUGGUUCCAUUCCUGAGGUCUUUGACUGGGACCUACAUGAGUGCGAGAAUAAUGAAAAAGAGAGAGAGAAGGGGGCAAGAGUACACCAGGGUGUUUAAUAGAGUGUGAUCGUAUCCUGUAAAUAAGACAGUGCUGACAAAAGGAAGAAAAGCCCGCCCCUGUGUGAAUGAACUGAGUAAACAGCUUACUCCUUCUGCCAAAAGGUUGGCAAGGAGUAGAAAGUAAGAAGAAGGAAAAUACCAGCAAAUGAGAGCCUUGGUUCGGGAAUGCAAUGUAUCUGGAGAACAAAAUUAUGGCAUAUGAAAGGCGGGGGAGAGGAAGGGAGGGAGGAGGAAAGGAGAAAAAGGGAGAGGGGAGAAAGAGAGAGGUCAGGGAGGGAGGCAGAGAGGAGGAAGGGCAGAAGCAGCCAGACCCUGGAGGGCCGGGCAGGCCAAGAGGACCUGGGCUCCUGGCUGAAUGGGGCAGAGCAAUGACAGGAGAACGUGUGUCAACACGAUAAUAAUAGGCUUCACUUGGGAGUGUGGGGACGAGGUGAGUUCACAGUGCAAAGUCAGAGCACAGUGACACUCAGUAAGCACCAACCGCCAGUCAGCAUCAUGGUCCCGAUUUUAGCCCCUAACACUUUGAGCCCAGAGAGGGGAAGUCUCGCUUGCUCAGGGCCACAGCUGUCCGUCUUGUGGCCACGGGGAGCCAGCCUGAGCAAGCGCCGCCCUGGAGGGGGAGGCCCCGGGAUGGGGGCCGGCUCCCUGCAGGCAGGGGUGCCAGGCAGUAAAGGAUGGGCGGGGCACAGGGAGACCCAGACUGUGCCACCCACCACCUCCACGUCCUUGUCCCCUGAGCCUUGUUCUUCACCUGCAGAUGGGGGAGUAGCAGCGACACCUCCUACAGGGGUCGUCAAGGGGACAGAGGAAGGCAGAGCCUGUGAAGUCCCCAGCCCAGGGCCUCACAGACAGUGCCACCUAUUCAGCUUCCUUUAUUUGACAGAUGUUUAUUGGCAUGUGCCACAGGCCACACCACCAGGACACUGGGGACACAAGGUGAACAAGACACACUUCUCCAGACCACACGCGCGCACGCGCACGUGCACACACCGCCCCCCCCACCAUUGUCAAAACACUAAAUUCCAGAAAGUGAUGGAGAGCAGCGCUGUGAGAUUUAAAAACAGAGACUCUGGGCAACCUUUCUCCCACCCUACAGGCCACAUGGCGGCCACCCCCGCCCAGCUGCUGGGAGGAGCCCAGAGCCGUGGGGCUCAGCCCUGGCUCCACACCGGAACCUUCUGGGUUCAAAGUCCUGACCCAUGGGUCCUAUCCCCAGAGCUUCCAGUGUAACUUGCCCAGGGUGGGGCCUGGGCUUGGGGAUUUUUUAAAUCAUCCUGAAAACUCCUGACCUAAAGGAUCGUCUUUCUCAGGAGGCCUGUGUUGCCGAGGGACCUGCACAGACGGGAUAGGUGCCCGACACACGCUCACUGAAUGGCUGACAUAUGCACCGGGCUUCCCUGGAUGGAGCUGGGAGCCCCCCCACCCCCCCACGGCGGUGCUCCCGGAGCGUGGAUGGAGGGGGACACGCACAAUUUUCAAUGUCUGUGCUUCCCAGCAUAGGCUUCCUCACUCCGAGCAGAUAUCACUUUAAAAGUUAAUUAAAAGAAAAUGAUUUGCCAGCUGUUCAAGA
ensembl:lncRNA